rnacentral:sRNA from 1 species
AGUCCUGCCUAGCAUGCCUCGGUGACGCACUUUUCCACCUCAGAAGUGCCUCAGCAGAAAGGCGAUGAGCCUCGGGGGUGCAUCAUCUUUCUGUUAGAAUGGGAGCAUGAGUUUUCCCUUCACAGAUUCCUCCGCCAGAAAUCUUACUCGCGGCGCCUUCAUUUCCGGGUCCGCCAUUUUGUUGCCUCUGUUUCUCCACGAGGGGGGGUUAAAGGCCCCCAAAACAUGCACACAUGAAAAGGGCAAAAAGUAACCGUCCUUGACAGGGAGUCUUAACUAGAGAAGGAAACGGGACUAAACUGGCGGGCUCCGUGGAAGCGUGGCCGGCAGCGUCCCGGACGAGGAGAGACAGCAUCUUGCUCAGUCACCCAGGCUGGAGUGCAGUGAUCAUAGCUCAUCGCAUCCUUGAACUCCUGGGCUUAAGCUAUCCUCCCGCCUUAGCCUCCUGAAUAGCUAGGACCACAGAUGUCUUUGGUGGACUUGGGAAAGAGGUUGCUAGAAGCAGCAAGAAAAGGCCAAGAUGAUGAAGUGAGAACGUUGAUGGCAAAUGGCGCCCCAUUCACCACAGACUGGCUUGGAACAUCACCCCUCCACCUUGCAGCUCAAUAUGGUCAUUAUUCCACAGCAGAAGUACUCCUUCGAGCAGGUGUUAGCAGGGAUGCCCGGACUAAAGUAGACAGGACCCCCUUGCACAUGGCUGCAGCCGAUGGACAUGCGCACAUCGUGGAACUGCUUGUUCGGAAUGGUGCAGAUGUGAAUGCCAAGGACAUGCUGAAGAUGACAGCUUUGCAUUGGGCCACAGAGCGUCACCAUCGAGAUGUUGUAGAGUUACUUAUCAAAUAUGGAGCUGAUGUCCAUGCUUUCAGCAAAUUUGAUAAAUCAGCCUUUGACAUAGCUCUGGAGAAAAACAAUGCUGAGAUUUUGGUCAUCCUCCAGGAAGCAAUGCAGAAUCAGGUGAAUGUUAAUCCAGAGAGAGCCAACCCUGUGACUGACCCUGUGA